UCUCUUCAUAAUCACCAUUCUACUCUCUCCUUACAAUGAGAUCAACUUUUUUACAUUCCACAUAUAAGUGAGAUCAUGCAAUAUUUGUCUUUCUGUG